UUAAAUUGAAGAGUUUGAUCAUGGCUCAGAUUGAACGCUGGCGGCAGGCCUAACACAUGCAAGUCGAACGGUAACAGGAAGCAGCUUGCUGCUUUGCUGACGAGUGGCGGACGGGUGAGUAAUGUCUGGGAAACUGCCUGAUGGAGGGGGAUAACUACUGGAAACGGUGGCUAAUACCGCAUAACGUCGCAAGACCAAAGAGGGGGACCUUCGGGCCUCUUGCCAUCAGAUGUGCCCAGAUGGGAUUAGCUUGUUGGUGAGGUAACGGCUCACCAAGGCGACGAUCCCUAGCUGGUCUGAGAGGAUGACCAGCCACACUGGAACUGAGACACGG
rnacentral:rRNA from 2 species